rnacentral:rRNA from 1 species
ACGGAAGGCAGCAGUGAGGAAUAUUGGACAAUGGGGGCAACCCUGAUCCAGCCAAACCGCGUGAGGGAUGAAGGUCCUACGGAUCGUAAACCUCUUUUAUGUGGGAAUAAUUGUUGGGACGUGUCCCAACUUGAAGGUACCACUUGAAUAAGCAUCGGCUAACUCCGUGCCAGCAGCCGCGGUAAUACGGAGGACCCGAGCGUUAUCCGGAUUUAUUGGGUUUAAAGGGUGCGCAGGCGGAGGAUUAAGUCAGCGGUGAAAUUCUCAUGCUCAACAUGAGAACUGCCAUUGAUACUGGUCCCCUUGAGAGAUGUCGAGGAUGGCGGAAUGUGAUGUGUAGCGGUGAAAUGCUUAGAUAUGUCACAGAACACCGAUUGCGAAGGCAGCUGUCCAGAGAUCUUCUGACGCUCAGGCACGAAAGCAUGGGUAUCAAACAGGAUUAGAUACCCUGGUA